CCUACGGGUGGCAGCAGUAGGGAAUCUUCCACAAUGGACGAAAGUCUGAUGGAGCAACGCCGCGUGCGUGAAGAAGGGUUUCGGCUCGUAAAGCGCUGUUGGUAGUGAAGAAAGAUAGAGGUAGGAACUGACCUCUAUUUGACGGUACUUACUUAGAAAGUCACGGCUAACUACGUGCCAGCAGCCGCGGUAAUACGUAGGUGGCAAGCGUUGUCCGGAUUUAUUGGGCGUAAAGCGAGUGCAGGCGGUUCAUUAAGUCUGAUGUGAAAUCCUUCGGCUCAACCGGAGAAUUGCAUCAGAAACUGUUGAACUUGAGUGCAGAAGAGGAGAGUGGAACUCCAUGUGUAGCGGUGGAAUGCGUAGAUAUAUGGAAGAACACCGAUGGCGAAGGCAGCUUACUGGACUGCAACUGACACUGAGGCUCGAAAGUGUGGGUAUCAAACAGGAUUAGAUACCCGAGUAGUC
rnacentral:rRNA from 1 species